GGAGGCCUUAUGGCUCAGUAAUAGAGUGCCUGCUUUGCAGGCAGAAGGUCCCAGGUUCAAUCCCGGGCAUUUCCA
rnacentral:tRNA from 1 species